rnacentral:misc_RNA from 1 species
UGUUCGAGCGUCAUUUAGACCAAUCAUGCCUGGCAUGGUGUUGGGGCAUGCGGUUUCGCAGCCCUCAAAAUCAGUGGCAUCGCUUACAAGACACUAAGUGUAGUAAUAAACCUCGCUUUAGGUUCUUGUGGACGGUCGCCAACAACCCCCAAUCUUUUAAGGUUGACCUCGGAUCAGGUAGGGAUACCCGCUGAACUUAA